rnacentral:tRNA from 2 species
GCUGGUGUGGUGGAAUGGUAUACACGCGGCACUUAAAAUGCCGUACCCUAUGGGUAUGUGGGUUCGACUCCCACCACCAGCA